GACGAACGCUGGCGGCGUGCUAAACACAUGCAAGUCGAACGGAAAGGCCCUGCUUGCAGGGUGCUCGAGUGGCGAACGGGUGAGUAACACGUGGGUGAUCUGCCCCUUACUUUGGGAUAAGCCUGGGAAACUGGGUCUAAUACUGGAUAGGACCAUGCUGUAGGUGGUGUGGUGGAAAGAUUAGUUUCGGUAAGGGAUGAGCUCGCGGCCUAUCAGCUUGUUGGUGGGGUAAUGGCCUACCAAGGCGUCGACGGGUAGCCGGCCUGAGAGGGUGGACGGCCACAUUGGGACUGAGAUACGGCCCAGACUCCUACGGGAGGCAGCAGUGGGGAAUAUUGCACAAUGGGCGCAAGCCUGAUGCAGCGACGCCGCGUGGGGGAUGACGGCCUUCGGGUUGUAAACUCCUUUCAGCCAUGACGAAGCCCUUGUGGUGACGGUAGUGGUAGAAGAAGCACCGGCUAACUACGUG
rnacentral:rRNA from 1 species